CACGUGAGGGUGCAAGCGUUGUCCGGAAUUAUUGGGCGUAAAGGGCUCGUAGGCGGUCCGUCACGUCGGGAGUGAAAACUCGGGGCUCAACCCCGAGCCUGCUUCCGAUACGGGCGGACUAGAGGUAGGUAGGGGAGAACGGAAUUCCUGGUGUAGCGGUGGAAUGCGCAGAUAUCAGGAGGAACACCGGUGGCGAAGGCGGUUCUCUGGGCCUUACCUGACGCUGAGGAGCGAAAGCGUGGGGAGCGAACAGG
rnacentral:rRNA from 1 species